CUGCUAUUGGUUGGCUUGGGAUAUGCAGUGUAAUUGGUUACUAUCCCAAGCCCAUACUGCUAUUGGUUGGCUUGGGAUAUGUAGUGUAAUUGGUUACUAUCCCAAGUCCAUGCUGCUAUUGGUUGGCUUGGGAUAUGUAGUGUAAUUGGUUACUAUCCCAAGUCCAUACUGCUAUUGGUUGGCUUGGGAUAUGUAGUGUAAUUGAUUCUAUUCCAAGUCCAUGCUGCUAUUGGUUG